rnacentral:misc_RNA from 1 species
CUUCAGCAAUAAGGCUUUCUCCCUCCAACUUAUUUCUCACACACAUAGUGUCCCCGGAAGAGAGAGAAUUCAGCACCUCCAUCUCUAGCUCACUUCACCUUGGAGCAGUCGGUCGACAACGAGAUCGGGUAACCAAUGUUAACAUGGCACUUCCCAGGAAUCCCGGAGACGAUGGGCAUCUUGAUUCCUGAAAUGCUCUGAACCAAUUUCUUCAAACAAAUACAAGCCUGCUGUCGGUCGGGUGUGGUCUUAGCCGCCGAGUUCAAGCUCCGAACGCCGUUGCAGCAACCAAGCGGCACCGUGCCCCCAUUUCGGGCGUAGAUGAUACAGGGAGCGAUAGCCACUGCCACCUGCCCGCAGGUUAUGGCCGCAGAUGCAGGGCGCGCUGUGGUGGCGAUGAGGAUGACCAAGAGGAGAGCAAUUGCAGCCAUUUGAGCACCGCAGUAGAAGCUUGGGG